rnacentral:rRNA from 1 species
AACAGGGAAGAGCCCAGCACCGAAUCUCGCAGUCUGUUGCCGGCUGCAGAGACAUGUGGUGUUCGGGAGGGUCUAAUCUCCCCGCGUUCCUGGGAUAGUUUAAGUCUAACUUGAAUGGAGCCAUGGCCCAUAGAGGGUGCUAGGCCCGUGCGACUAUUCUGGGUUCUCGGGAAGGCCUCUCCUUAGAGUCGGGUUGCUUGAAAAUGCAGCCCUAAGUGGGUGGUAAACUCCAUCUAAGGCUAAA